rnacentral:rRNA from 1 species
GACGUAGGGUGCAAGCGUUGUCCGGAAUUAUUGGGCGUAAAGAGCUCGUAGGCGGUUUGUCGCGUCUGGUGUGAAAAUCCAGGGCUUAACCCUGGACCUGCAUCGGGUACGGGCAGACUAGAGUGCGGUAGGGGAGAUCGGAAUUCCUGGUGUAGCGGUGAAAUGCGCAGAUAUCAGGAGGAACACCGGUGGCGAAGGCGGAUCUCUGGGCCGUAACUGACGCUGAGGAGCGAAAGCAUGGGGAGCGAACAGG